rnacentral:rRNA from 1 species
UGGGGAAUCUUCCACAAUGGGCGGCAAGCCUGAUGGAGCAACACCGCGUGAGUGAAGAAGGGUUUCGGCUCGUAAAGCUCUGUUGUUAAAGAAGAACACGUAUGAGAGUAACUGUUCAUACGUUGACGGUAUUUAACCAGAAAGUCACGGCUAACUACGUGCCAG